rnacentral:lncRNA from 1 species
AGAGGAUCCUCAUGGCCAACAUGGAAACAUCAGGGAUGAGGAUCGAGACAUUUGAACAGAUAGAAGAGAGAUCAUUUCAGGGGUAGAGCACACACUAAGUCAAGAAUGAACAUAUAUUUAUUCAUGAAGAGAACCAGGAAAGCAAUUUUACCUUCCAAGGAUGGUGCCAAACUAUAGGCAUAUACAUCAUUUACAUUCCUCUCCAGGCUGUCCUCUUAGUUUGGGGUAGACCAGAAGUUUGGAUUCUCACAGAGACCUUUUAACAUCCUCAGAUUAUAAACAUAGUCUGAAGAAUAAAUUCAACUCAUAGCUGUCGGGGCAGUCUUUUAAAGUUGACAUCUGUAAUACUCUUUCACAGUGACGCUGAAGUUGAUUUUUCUGUAUAUGUGUAUUUUACAGGUGGCAUCAGGAGACAAAGGUAUACAUCCAGCCUGCAGAGCUGGUGAAUGGCAGAACUGAGGUUUGAACCCAGGACUCUGCUGAUGUGUUCUUCCUACAGCACCUCACUGCCUUAAAUACCCAAGGCCUCUGACUUGUUGCAAAGUAAGAUACGCCCAUGUAUUUGGUCCAGAAGGAUCCAUAUAGGUCUGUGAGCCUAAACCACAUAUUCCAUUCCAGCUUCUCCUGGCGAGUCCUGAACUGAGUACCAUACGGCUUGCACCACCAAUAAUCAUGUCACUUGUGUGUGAGCUCCUUUGAAAAUAUCAUGGGGAGGACAAAUGAUGAGCUGGAACUGCUCACCAACGUAACCAGACUUCUGCCAGCCAGCUCCACUGGGAUGCCACACUGGGACUUCAACGCUGACCCUGUCAGGUGUCCAUCUUUCUCCUUCUGACGUGGCUUCACGAAUUGCAUUGCUCCCUAACCCAAGGUCCAUGAUAGACACAUAAACUCCUCCCUUCUCUUAUGCCGCUGCUGCUAUUAAGUCACUUCAGUCAUGUCCGACUCUGUGCGACUCCAUAGACGGCGGCCCACCAGGCUCCCCCUCCCUGGGAUUCUCCAGGCGAGAUUACUGGAGUGGGUU